rnacentral:rRNA from 1 species
UACGUAGGCAGCAAGCGUUGUUCGGAGUUACUGGGCGUAAAGAGUGCGUAGGCGGUCCUGUAAGUUUGGUGUGAAAUCUCCCGGCUCAACUGGGAGGGUGCGCCGAAGACUGCAGGGCUUGAGUAUGGGAGAGGUAAGCGGAAUUCCAGGUGUAGCGGUGAAAUGCGUAGAUAUCUGGAGGAACACCGGUGGCGAAGGCGGCGUUCUGGACUGCAACUGACACUGAGGAACGAAAGCCAGGGGAGCAAACGGG